AUUGAACGCUGGCGGCAGGCCUAACACAUGAAAGUCGAACGGUAACAGGAAGAAGCUUGCUUCUUUGCUGACGAGUGGCGGACGGGUGAGUAAUGUCCGGGAAACUGCCGGAUGGAGGGGGAUAACUACUGGAAACGGUAGCUAAUACCGCAUAACGUCGCAAGACCCAAAAGGGGGACCUUCGGGCCUCUUGCCAUCGGCUGUGCCCAGGUGGGAUUAGCUCGUAGGUGGGGUAACGGCUCCCCUAGGCGACGAUCCCUAGCUGGUCUGAGAGGAUGACCAGCCACACUGGAACUGCGACACGGUCCAGACUCCUACGGGAGGCAGCAGUGGGGAAUAUUGCACAAUGGGCGCAAGCCUGAUGCAGCCAUGCCGCGUGUAUGAAGAAGGCCUUCGGGUUGUAAAGUACUCUCAGCGGGGAGGAAGGGAGUCAAGUUAAUACCUUUGCUCAUUGACGUUACCCGCAGAAGAAGCACCGGCUAACUCCGUG
rnacentral:rRNA from 1 species